rnacentral:rRNA from 1 species
UACGUAGGCGGAUUGGAAAGUAGGGGGUGAAAUCCCAGGGCUCAACCCUGGAACUGCCUCCUAAACUAUCAGUCUAGAGUUCGAGAGAGGUGAGUGGAAUUCCAAGUGUAGAGGUGAAAUUCGUAGAUAUUUGGAGGAACACCAGUGGCGAAGGCGGCUCACUGGCUCGAUACUGACGCUGAGGUACGAAAGUGUGGGGAGCAAACAGGAUUAGAUACCCUGGUAGUC